rnacentral:rRNA from 1 species
GACGAACGCUGGCGGCGUGCCUAAUACAUGCAAGUAGAACGCUGAAGGAGGAGCUUGCUUCUCUGGAUGAGUUGCGAACGGGUGAGUAACGCGUAGGUAACCUGCCUGGUAGCGGGGGAUAACUAUUGGAAACGAUAGCUAAUACCGCAUAAGAGUAGAUGUUGCAUGACAUUUGCUUAAAAGGUGCAAUUGCAUCACUACCAGAUGGACCUGCGUUGUAUUAGCUAGUUGGUGAGGUAACGGCUCACCAAGGCAACGAUACAUAGCCGACCUGAGAGGGUGAUCGGCCACACUGGGACUGAGACACGGCCCAGACUCCUACGGGAGGCAGCAGUAGGGAAUCUUCGGCAAUGGACGGAAGUCUGACCGAGCAACGCCGCGUGAGUGAAGAAGGUUUUCGGAUCGUAAAGCUCUGUUGUAAGAGAAGAACGAGUGGAGAGGGAAAGUUCACA